AAAGUCGUAACAAGGUCUCCGUUGGUGAACCAGCGGAGGGAUCAUUACAGAGUAGACCGCCGCGUCUCGGCUCUGCCAACCCCGCGAACCUUAUACCCAUAACUCUGCCGUUGCCUCGGCGGGCAGCGCCCCAGGGCGCCCCGCCGCGGGCCCGGCGAGCACAAACGCACCGAAAGCUCCGCGCUCUCUGAAGAAAAACUUUGAACGAGUAAAAACCUUUGGCAACGGAUCUCUUGGCUCUG
rnacentral:misc_RNA from 1 species